CUCUGGGGCUUCCCGCACCAGCUCAGGCAGAGCUGAGCUGAGCGGAAUCUUCACCUUGCUUGCUUUUGCUAAACUGUUGCCUGCGAAGGAGGAACCAGGGACUUAACAAAUUGAGGCUGCUUCUAUUCAAAUGUUCCAAAAGGGCAUCUACACAGCCAGAGACUUGGCGGUGCUCUUUGCAGCUUAGAAGAAACGGGCAUCAGAAACUGCAUUCUGGAGCUAUUCUCCAGAGAUGCUCCUGAACAAGUUGUCUGCAGGUGCAAGCUUCAAGGGGGAUAUUUAAAUCGCCAACCGUACUCAUUCUGUGACUCAGGAAAGGAAAACUAAUCUGUUGAAGAAUCCUAACAGUCGAAUUCUCUGAGCCCUGGCCAGUUAUCAGCAUCUCUGAGACCAUCUCCUCCUCCUCCUCCUCCUCCUCCUCCUCCUCCUAAGAAUCAGUGGGUGUGACAACACCUUCCCUUCAGCCUACCACAAGGAAUUGCCACAAAGCUGUAGACAAUUCAUUUCCUGUAUUCUUAUAUCCUUCAAGCUGGGAAUCUGGCAGGGGCAUUACAGUCUCCAACCUUAGAGGAGACUGACAAAUUCAGACAUAACAGGUGAAAACUCAGGUAUGCUGAGCCCAAGAUAUCCAAAACCUUUAGCAAACAGUCUCACAGAAGAACCCAAUUAAAUUUACACCAUCCGUCUGCAGAUCUAGGUGAGCUGUAGAUAAAAAGGAGCCUUUUAUUCUUUUACAAAAAAAGCAAAAUUCCUAGGAGAUUCUUGUCUCCAUGCCAGUAUUAUAAAGCAGUUUUACCAUAUUUAUUUUCACUGGUGUAAAAUUAAGAGUGUGAGAACUGAAUAUAGAUUUAUUUAUUUAUUUAUCUAAUUAUUUAGCUAAACUUGCUAAGACGAUCUGAUAAACCAAUUAGGGAGAAGACUGCUAGCUAGAGGGAAGGGAAGCACAACAAUUGGCAACUUAGAAGACCACUUCCGUUUUGCUUACACACUACUGAUUUUGUUCUGUAGCAGAUUGUAAGAACACGACCAAUACAUUCACAGACAGGCUAAGGGACUGUGGAAUGCCUCAAGGGCAAUAGAAAUCAAAUAGAAGCAAAUAUCAACUCAAGUCUUGAGUGAUGACGGAGGUAGUUUUUAAGUAUCAUGGAAAUCUCACUGGACGGGCUCAUUUUCCCACUCUGGCAACAGAGGCUGACACCACUUCAGACAAGUAUUCCAACCUGUACAUGUAUGUAGGGUUAUUCCUGAGUCUCCUGGCCAUUCUUCUCAUCCUGCUCUUCACAAUGCUUCUUCGACUCAAACAUGUCAUCUCACCCAUCACUGAGAGCACUGAAAGUGUUCCUCAGUUUACAGAUGUAGAGAUGCAAAGCCGAAUUCCCACUCCUUAAAGUCAAGAUGAUGCUGAGACUUGGCGGAUAGAAGCAAACCCUGGCAUGCUGACACCCAGGGAGGCUUCCUUUCUCACGUGAGACUUCCCACGUAACAACAAGCUGCUGUGUUUGAUGCUUGUCAUUCUGCUUCUUGACUGUGCUUGUGGGACCUCUAAGAGGCUUAAGAGUCAUUCUUUUAACGGAAUAUGGGAAAUAGCAGCUGGCUGGGCUGGCAGGUUUCCAUAGUAACCAGAGAGCCUGAGCCUUGAACAAACCUCAGACCACAGAAAUUCAUAAGCAGCAGUUGUUAAAACACAAGAUCCCUGGAAGCUGCAAGAGUGAACAAGACUUUACCUUUGAAUGUGUAAGGACCCCUACCCCAGAAAAAAAUGUCAGGCUUUAAUUUAUUACCUUAGCCCUAAAGAAUUGCUUCACACACAACACAGACAUCACCUGACAUGGAGCUAAAUCAUGUCACAGAUGAAUGGUAAGGAUUGUUCAUCUUUCCUCAAAAGAGCAUCAGGUUUCUUCAAAAUGAAUGAAGAUAUUUAAAGAACCUGUUACAAUUUAAAGAGAAAAUUUGCAAAACAUUUCUGGUGAAAAAAAUGUGUUUAUUGUGUCCGUGUUGUUACUAUGACUGAACUUUUUAAAACUCUGAUGAUUGCAGAUGUAUUACUACAAUAUGAGACAAGGAGCUGCCUCCAAAUCAAGGGAAAAAAAUUAAGUCAAAUUGUUCUCAUGAUAAGGAUUUCUACAUUAUAGAUGCAGCUUCUUUUUUGCCCUCCCAGGAUUGAGUUGCGCAUGAAUAUGAACUUGAUUUGAAGGCGGACUUGGCAAAGAAGGCCCAAGUGUAUUUCAAAGCAGAAAUGAAAUGGUCUUGGGAUUCUGUUACUGAGUGACUGUGACUUUCACUGAAGACUGCCAGCAUUCUGGGUCUCAAGUUUCUCUUGUUAAAAACUGUUCAGAGAGCUAUUUCAUGCUCAGUUUUCAGAUAUGCGCAUAAGACAAACUGAGAUGAAGGGAGACAGGACUAAGAGUUACUCUGCAGCAGAUUCUUUAUAAGAUCAACGUCCUCAAACAUCUCAUUUGUCUUUCCCAGAAAAUGCUCCUCCCUUCCUAAUCCCUGCCAAAAAAUGAAGUGUUUCGCUUAUUACCUAUAAAAGAAAUAUAUUUUGAAAUUUUCCAUUCUCAUGAGUAGCUCUAGUGUGCCAGUAAUGGAUAAUUUAAUUAAAAAAAAAAAAACAAACUUGACUUUCCAAAGUAAAACCAAAGGAGAUGAGUGACGUUUACAAAUUAGAAAUUGCAAAAUUAGUCAUAGUUUUGCCACCAAAGAAAUGGUGUAUCUGUCUUAGAUUUUACCUGUAUGCGUGCGUGCGCGCGCGCACACACAAAUAAGCUGCCCCUUGUAAUUAAAGCAUGGUCAUCAAAUUUCAAGUCCCCUUGGGGACUGAGGUGGUGGUAUUAAAAUGGACUGGAUGUGAAAUUCAUGGCACCUGUGCCAGGGCAUAUAUCUUUUUGGACUGGAACCAAUUUAGAUUGGCCCCUUUACUGUGAUCUAAAUCUAGCAUGGUGGUGAAAUUCCCAAGAGCAUUCUACUUUUAUACACAGUCAUUUGCCAAUGCUCUCCUCUCCAAGGGGCUGCAUAGUGUAAAAUCCCCACAUGCAGAAACUAAACUUAGCAGCUAGGCUGACGGCCACACCUGUUACAACUGUGCACCAUCAGUGAUAGCAGCUGCAUUCUCCAUGAUUCAUAAAAAAUUAUCAGUUAGGCUAAGACUUGGAUAAGACUUUGGGCGUUAUAUUUUCAAAAUGUACAGUCACACUUACAGGAAUACAUAUUGGUAGGUUAAGUUGUGUCUAUAUCAAUACUUAGACUCCAUGGACUUUUAAAAUGUUUUACUUUUCACUCUACAUGGGCUUUCCCCAGGGCUGGCAAUAUAGCCAAGAACUUAAGGCCACAGGUAUCCCCUCAUUCCAGGUUCUCCUUCUGGUGUCCACAGUAUUCGAAUGCACUUUACAGUAGAAAAGUCAGUGGCUGGAAAAUAUUGGAUCUGCUUACACUUUGAACAACAGUGAAUAGCAAGCCUCUCCGGGCCUUGCUGAAGCUGAUAAAGAUGUAGCCCGUGCAUGUCCUAACCACCCCACCCCAAACAUUAGAAUAUUAAAACUGCUUUGGAAGUACUCCGUUAGGUGAUGAUUCCUAAUUUAUGAUCAUGUUGCUCACCAAGAAAACAACCACCCUCUUUCAUCACAGCAACCCCUAUGGGAUCCAGAUCUUAACUUAGCAUUAGCCAUGGCACACAGCAGAGAUUACACCAAAAUAGCAACAUAAUCCACCACAGUUUCAAGUGAUAUAACAUAAAUGGAAAUGCGUUUAAGCAGAUGUGUCAUCACAGUAACUCACACGGUAUUUAUUCUUUGAGAAAACAAGUGGAACGCUUUCAUGAUGGCAAAGAAAAGAACAUCUUUAUUUCUAUUCAAGUAUAUUAUAUCCUCAAAAUGUAUUAAUAAGCAUAUUACUGCUUUAAAAGUCAGCUAUAAUAAUCAGUGGACAUAAUUUAUUUUUCUGUGCAGAAUACAGACUUAACAAUUCCCUGCCCCACCCCAUUCUCCCUCAAUUUAUGUACUAUCUGGGAUAUGAACAUUUAGGUCACUUACAUGUAUAUGAACUCUAUUUUAAGAAAAAUAUACAUUUUACUGAACCAUAUGUAUAUUAAAAAUGCUCAUAUAUCAACAAAUCCCAGCAAUUUAGCCUGCUACAAACACCACCCGAAUUCUCCAAAUAAAAUACAAUGUUAACAUGGGCACUACUAAAGAUGUACAUUGCAUAUAUUUCAGAAUCAUUAAUCAUAUGAAACAAGGCAUAUUGCAAAGGGUUAUGGAUUAUAUAUUGAGCAACAAAUGCUAAUGUUAAGCAAGUAAAGAUGAGUUUAUCCAGUCUAAACUUUCUAUUGAUGCCAAAUUCAAAAUUUUGGACAUCAGUAACUAAUUUUGAAUGUACAGAUCCUACAAUACUUACUAAAUAGGUAGAAGGGGUCCAUUUAGUACAUUUAAAUAGUUACAUUAAGUAAUACAUUUUAUUCACCCACAUUUGUACAAGGUAACUUUGGUGUUUUUUGUUUUUUGUUUUACAAAAAUGAAGAGUUGUGUGGCAAAACUGGAACUUCUUUGAUUUUAAUUCAUUUAUAUUUGAAUUAGAUUCAUGUUGUAUUGAAAUGGAAUCAGAGUUAUAUUAAUAUUCAGCAUGUCACUUUGAACCCUGGAUAAUAAAUGCUGACUCUUUUGUUUGCUGAUAACAAAUGUGUGUCCUCUGAAGAUGUAAAUGGCAUUGCAUUAGCUUCUGUAUUGCAAUAUAAAUUAUAAUAACUGUGA
ensembl:lincRNA